GACAGAGGUGCCAAGCGUUAUGCGGAAUCACUGGGCUUAAAGCGUGUGUAGGCGGAUCGUUAAGUACCUUGUGAAAUCCCACGGCUCAACCGUGGAACUGCUGGGUAUACUGGCGAUCUUGAGCCACCUAGGGGCGAGCGGAACAAGCGGUGGAGCGGUGAAAUGCGUAGAUAUCGCUUGGAACGCCAAUGGUGAAAACAGCUCGCUGGGGGUGUGCUGACGCUGAGACACGAAAGCCAGGGGAGCAAACGGG
rnacentral:rRNA from 1 species